rnacentral:misc_RNA from 1 species
UCCGGUUUGUCACCGGCAGUCCCAUUAGAGUGCCCAACUUAAUGUGGCAACUAAUGGUAAGGGUUGCGCUCGUUGCGGGACUUAACCCAACAUCUCACGACACGAGCUGACGACAGCCAUGCAGCACCUGUGUCCCGACCUAUUGCUAGGAGGAAUCCAUCUCUGGAAACCGUCCGGGCAUGUCAAGGGCUGGUAAGGUUCUUCGCGUUGCGUCGAAUUAAUCCACAUCAUCCACCGCUUGUGCGGGUCCCCGUCAAUUCCUUUGAGUUUUAACCUUGCGGCCGUACUCCCCAGGCGGACAACUUCACGCGUUAGCUGCGGUACCAAGGAAUCGCUUCCCCAACACCCAGUUGCCAUCGUUUAGGGCGUGGACUAC